rnacentral:misc_RNA from 1 species
CUCAACUGGUUUUCCACCGUCUCUCUGCCGCUCCGGCUUCCUCGACCUCCUGCCCCCCCUCCCCUGCCUUUCUACAUAGAUCGACUCUCCAGCGUCUUCGCCGCCGCUCCGCUUUCGUCUUGACAACGUACUGCUGUAGUGCACUCGCACCGCGUCGUCGUCGCAUAUAAGCGCAGACACACUCUCGGUCGCUUCCUUUAUAGUUCUCCACGAUUUCAUACACACCUUGACUCUGCACCACACCCAGGAACACCUCGCGGCUCUCCCGCUGCAUCUUCCCCUACCCUUUUGAGUGUUGCUGUGCUGACUCCUUCGUGGUGUCGCCACGCACGCAUCACACCCCCUCAUUUCGCCUUUUUUCUUUGCUGUGAACUCGCAAUCCCCUCAUAGAGCAGCUAGCCCUCCUCCUUCAUCACUCCACGCACACACACACACACACACACACACACGAAGGCUUCAGUGGACACCGUUCACCCUAUUGCGCAAGAACACAGGCGCGCUUCCCGGUUCGCCCCUCCUCUGCUCUGUCUUCAGCUUACUAGCAGCAUCCACAGCGCAGGAUAACACGCGUUGUGUGACCGCCGUUGCUCAGACGUGCCGCGCCGCUCUACUUGUUUUUUUUUCCCGCUCUGUUCUGUCGCAUGGAAACCAUGUCCGAUUCGGCUCCGAUGAUCAUCAAGCGCAAUGGCGAGGCGCAACCGUACGAUGCUUGCAAGAUCCGCCGCCGCUUCGAGCGGGUGAUGGAGGGGCUCGACCGCGACCAUCUCGACGUGGACAUGCUGACGGAGAAUGUGACGCGCGGCUUGACGGACCAGAUCCGCUACGACAAACUGGACGAGCUCGUGGCGCAGACGGCGGCGUACUCGGUCACAAAGCACCCGGACUACGGCCGCAUGGGCGGUCGCCUGUGCACAACAUCACUGCACAAGCAGACGAAUGAGUCGCUGCUGGAGACGUUCCGCCUUCUGCACGACCACGUCACGGUGCAGACAAACCGUCCCGCUCCACUGAUCGCCGACGAUGUGUGGGAGGUUAUGCAGCAGCACCACAAGGAACUUCAGAGCAUGAUUGACUACUCCCGCGAUUUGAACUUCGAGUUCUUUGGGUACAAGACGCUGGAGCGCUCGUACCUGCUGCGUAUCGAGACCGGAAGGGGUGAGAUGCGAAUUGUGGAGCGCCCACAGCAGAUGUUCAUGCGUGUCGCUCUUGGCAUUCACGGCGCAGAUCUCAAGAAUGUGCGUGAGACGUACGACCUUAUGUCCAAGGGCUUCUUCACCCACGCCACCCCGACCCUCUUUAACGCCGGCACCCCCAAGCCGCAAAUGAGCUCGUGCUUCCUGGUGGCGUCGAAGGAAGACAGCAUCGACGGCAUCUACGACACGCUGAAGGAGUGUGCCGUGAUCAGCAAAGCGGCCGGCGGCAUUGGUCUGCACGUGCACAACAUCCGCGCGGCGGGCAGCUACAUAGCUGGUACGAACGGCACGUCGAACGGGCUCGUGCCAAUGCUACGCGUCUUCAACAACACCGCCCGCUACGUGGACCAGGGCGGCGGUAAGCGCAAGGGCGCCUUCGCCGUCUAUCUCGAGCCCUGGCACGCUGACGUCUUUGGCUUUCUGCUGCUGAAACGCAACACGGGAAAAGAUGACCAGCGCGCCCGCGACCUCUUCUACGCGCUGUGGAUCCCAGAUCUGUUUAUGAGACGUGUGAAAAGCGAGGGGAAGUGGACGCUGAUGGAUCCCAACACGUGCCCGGGUCUCAGCGAUUGCUAUGGUGAAGAGUUUGAGCGGCUCUACGAGCGCUACGAGUCCGAGGGCCGCGGCGUCAAGACGAUCCAGGCCCAGGAGGUGUGGUUUGCUAUCCUGGAGUCUCAGAUCGAGACGGGAGGGCCGUUCAUCCUCUACAAGGACGCAUGCAACAGCAAGUCGAACCAGAAGAAUCUUGGCACGAUCAAGUGCUCGAACCUAUGCACGGAGAUUGUCGAGUACACGUCGCCACAGGAGACGGCGGUGUGCAACCUCGCCUCCAUCGCGCUGCCGCGCUUCGUCGACGUUGAGAAGCGUGAGUUCAACCACCAGCUUCUCUACACCGUGACAAAGCAGAUCACACGUAACCUAAACCGGGUUAUUGACCGCAACUACUACCCGGUCGAGACGGCGCGCCGCAGUAACAUGCGCAACCGCCCCAUCGGCCUCGGCGUGCAGGGGCUCGCGGACGCCUUCAUCCUCAUGCGACUGCCGUUUGUCUCGGCGGAGGCGCAGCGGGUGAACGCAGAGAUCUUCGAAACGAUCUACUUUGCUGCUGUCGAGUCGUCGAUGGAGCUGGCGAAGGAGGAUGGCCCGUACGAGACCUUCACGGGCAGCCCGGCCAGCGAGGGCAUUCUGCAGUUCGACAUGUGGAAGAACGCGCGGCCCAACAGCGGUCGCUGGGACUGGGCCAGCCUCAAGGAGAAGGUGAUGCAGGUGGGCAUGCGCAACUCUCUGCUGGUUGCCCCCAUGCCAACCGCGUCCACCUCGCAGAUUCUCGGCAAUAAUGAGUGCUUCGAGCCCUUCACCUCGAACAUCUACGUCCGCCGUGUGCUGAGCGGCGAGUUCCCUGUUGUGAACAAGUACCUCGUCAUGGACCUUAUUGCGCGUGGUCUAUGGAACGAGUCGAUGCGGAACGAGAUCAUCUCCUACAACGGCUCUAUCCUCACUAUUAACGGCAUGCCGGACGACCUGAGGGAGCUUUACCGGACCGUGUGGGAGAUUCCACAGCGCAAGCUGAUAGACAUGGCACGCGACCGCGGCCAGUACAUUGACCAGUCGCAGUCGCUGAACCUCUUCCUCCAGAGCCCCACCUCCGGCCAGAUCACGUCCAUGCUCUUCUAUUGCUGGGAAGCUGGACUGAAGACUGGCGUCUACUACCUGCGCACCAAGGCCGCGGCGGACGCGAUCAAGUUCACCGUGGACGCGAAGCGAAUGAAGGAGAUCCAGGAGAGGGAGAACUCGCAGCAGACCAUGUCCUCGCACCGCGCUUCACAGCCCGAGGAGUGCCUGAACUGCGGAUCCUAAGUAGAUGACGCGACGAUACCCGAUAGUUCUCCAGCCUCAAGGCUCAGAAGGGCGACUUCGGCCCGCCUGAUCGCCUCUCUCCUGGGCGCAGCGCGAUCCUGUGCGCUGUCCCUCUUCUCUCUUGAGGUGCUCUACCAUAGAACUACGUUUUAAAUUUUAUGGCUUGCUUUCGAGCUUCUCAUGAUACGAACGAUUCCCCAUUCUAGCGUCUGCGUCCGUGUGUGCCGCAACAUAUGCGUGGGUGUGUAACUCUUCCUCUUUCAUCUCCUGCCACCUUUCCCCCUUCUCUGCUCAUCUAUGUGCGUGAGUUUUUGAGAAAGGCCAUCGAGCAGCCACACCAUAUAUAUGAGCCAAAACAAACGCCUUGCAGAAUGCCGUUCCCGAAAAUGGGUGAAGGUAAAAGGGGCGGGGGUGGGGGGAUUGGUGAAGCAGCAAGCAAGCGUGUGCCUCCACAUUCGUGCUUCUCUCACACACACACACUCGUCUCCUCCCUUCUGUCCUUGCCCACACCCUCCCCCCUCCCCGUUCUCCCGCGGUGCUGCAGAGUGCGUUGAUGCCGCGUGUUUUUAUUGUGGGCGCGUGGAUUUCCUUUUUGCCCCUUCUCAAGCUUUCCUCCCCCUCCUCCUUUCCCUCUUCUUGGGUGCUUUCUGUCAUGCGUUGCACCUCAG